rnacentral:tRNA from 1 species
GGAGAGGUGCCGGAGCGGCUGAACGGAGCUGCCUGCUAAGCAGUUGUCCCGGGCAACUGGGACCCUGGGUUCAAAUCCCAGCCUCUCCG